CUCACUUCUCGGCCUUUUGGCUAAGAUAAAGUGUAGUAUCUGUUCUUAUCAGUUUAAUAUCUGAUAUGUCCUCUAUCCAAUGCCAUAUAUUAAAUGGAGUUUUGGAGCUGGCUCAUUCCACUCUGAUCAUCGAUCUGGUAUUGAAGUUCCUCCAAGAACACUGAACUCCCA
ensembl:snRNA U2 U2 spliceosomal RNA